GUCCUGCCAAAUCUGGGAGGGUGUGAGCGGCGACGGGGCGUUGGCCCUUGGAAGCGGCCAGAGAACCUUCUGGGGAGGACCUGCCCAUGGUCAAGUUCUUUCUGGGCCAAGAAAAUGAAAGGGUGUUUAGACUGCCGGUAGGUGGUGAACAGAGAGGCCAGCUUUAAAGGGCCUGGACAGUGUAAACAUGGCCUGGGGAUGGGCCCCAGAGAGAAUGCAGCUCUCCUAAGCCAGCAUUUACUGAGACCCUAAGAGGAGAAAAUUCUAGAUUCUUAACAAAGUUCCAGUGAAGCUCCACUCAUCCAGGAAAAGAAGUCUGGGCCGUUUCAGACUUCCAUCUACAAUUUCUGAGAAGAUUUUUCAUGAAAAAGAAAAUGUGUUCACGGAACGGACUCCAAAAACCUUGCAAAUGUGCCCAGGAUGUUAUUCCUUCGGUGUAAGUAACUUCAAAACAUCUGUAAAUUCCAACCAACUCUUCAUGCCCCAGAUCUCUCUGUGCUUUAACACUUUGUGAAAAUUAAUCAAUCGGAUGACAUUGCGAUUCAAUGUGAGGAAUUAGGACGACGAAUUAAGGAAGCGUUUGUUUUUGGAAGACAGCAUACAGGCUGGGUACCAGGAAGCUGACACUUGUAGACGUGCGGAAACUACACGGUGGGUUUGGGGGAAGUUGGUGAGAAGGGCUUCUCGGAGGCAUUCUCUGAUGGAAAUAACAAAGUGCCAUGUAUGGAAGACCAGGAUAUCUGGGCACUAGCCUGGUCCCUGCCACUAACUAGCUGUGUGUCUUUGGAUAGCUCAUUUACGUAUACAUUCCUCAAACAUCGAAAGCACCAGGAUAGGGGAAAAGACACAAGUGGCACUAUCUGGUGUUGCUUAGUAUUUCUUGGGGGGAGGCUGCGGACUAUAGAAGCCCCGUUCAGCGCGGCUCAGUAUCGAGUGUGCACCGCGGGAAGGCAUUACGGAGUUGUAGAGGCUCCAGGAGGAUGCAGACAGAGAGA